rnacentral:sRNA from 1 species
AGGAUACGUUCAAAGCGGAAUAUGUUUCUCUGCACGUACGACGCAGUAAUUAUGCUGCUU